rnacentral:tRNA from 1 species
GGGCCUGUAGCUCAGCUGGUUAGAGCGGUCGACUCAUAAUCGACUGGUCGGGGGUUCAAGUCCCUCCAGGCCCA